rnacentral:rRNA from 1 species
UACGUAGGUGGCAAGCGUUGUUCGGAAUUACUGGGCGUAAAGGGCGCGUAGGCGGCUUAACAAGUCACUUGUGAAAUCUCCGGGCUUAACUCGGAACGGCCAAGUGAAACUGUCAAGCUAGAGUGCAGAAGGGGCAAUCGGAAUUCUUGGUGUAGCGGUGAAAUGCGUAGAUAUCAAGAGGAACACCUGAGGUGAAGACGGGUUGCUGGGCUGACACUGACGCUGAGGCGCGAAAGCCAGGGGAGCAAACGGG